CUUCCGUUGUCGGCAAAUUGCGAAUUCGAUCUUCGGCUUCACCUUGCACUCUUGUUUUCAGGUAGUGCAAUUUCUCCACAUCUGCCAGCGAAGGAUGGCGAUCCAGCAUCGACAGGAACAGGUCCCUGAACGCUGGCCAAUCCUCAAUGCGACCGGAGAAAUGUGGAAGCUCGAUGUUGGGCAGCUUCCGCUGCGACGCGGGCUCCGAAGCUGCUAUCAUCUUUCGCUCCGCUCCGCUCUCCGGCUUGGAGCGAAGGGAAUGCAGCAAAUCCAGCAGAGUUGAGCGCUGGUCCAUCACCCUGUCUUCGACCGUGACAAUCCAGCUCGACUUGAAGUAGUCGUGGUUUUCUUCGGCGCGGGCUAUGCGACCGUACAGCUCGGACUGAGCGUCAAGGACACUUUCGGCGUCGAGGCUCAUUGCGCGAGUUAAGUCAACGUCACGCCCUUCGCACCAGGAUUACCGUCACCGCGACACUCGUGUUCACUCACCACUCGCUCGGAUGUGCACUAUCCGGCUCGAAGGACCAAAAUGUUUAGAGUGAGGUGGAACGAACACCAGAAUAUUAUAAAGAAUAAAGAAAUGUUCAAAAUA